rnacentral:rRNA from 1 species
UACGGAGGGUGCUAGCGUUGUUCGGAAUCACUGGGCGUAAAGCGCGUGUAGGCGGCCCACUAAGUCUGAUGUGAAAGCCCGGGGCUCACCCCCGGAAGUGCAUUGGAAACUGGUGGACUCGAGUCCCGGAGAGGAGGGUGGAAUUCCUGGUGUAGCGGUGAAAUGCGUAGAUAUCAGGAGGAACACCGGUGGCGAAAGCGGCUUCCUGGUCCAGCACCGACGUUCAGGCACGAAAGCGUGGGGAGCAAACAGG